GACGAACGCUGGCGGCGUGCCUAAUACAUGCAAGUAGAACGCUGAAGGAGGAGCUUGCUUCUCUGGAUGAGUUGCGAACGGGUGAGUAACGCGUAGGUAACCUGCCUGGUAGCGGGGGAUAACUAUUGGAAACGAUAGCUAAUACCGCAUAAUAGUAGAUGUUGCAUGACAUUUGCUUAAAAGGUGCAAUUGCAUCACUACCAGAUGGACCUGCGUUGUAUUAGCUAGUUGGUGGGGUAACGGCUCACCAAGGCGACGAUACAUAGCCGACCUGAGAGGGUGAUCGGCCACACUGGGACUGAGACACGGCCCAGACUCCUACGGGAGGCAGCAGUAGGGAAUCUUCGGCAAUGGACGGAAGUCUGACCGAGCAACGCCGCGUGAGUGAAGAAGGUUUUCGGAUCGUAAAGCUCUGUUGUAAGAGAAGAACGAGUGUGAGAGUGGAAAGUUCACACUGUGACGGUAGCUUACCAGAAAGGGACGGCUAACUACGUG
rnacentral:rRNA from 1 species